AUUGAACGCUGGCGGCAGGCCUAUCACAUGCCAGUCGAACGGUAACAGGAAGCAGCUUGCUGCUUUGCUGACGAGUGUCGGACGGGUGAGUAAUGUCUGUGAAACUGCCUGAUGGAGGGGGAUAACUACUGGAAACGGUAGCUAAUACCGCAUAACGUCGCAAGACCAAAGAGGGGGACCUUCUGGCCUCUUGCCAUCGGACGUGCCCAGAUGGGAUUAGCUAGUAGGUGGGGUAACGGCUCACCUAGGCGACGAUCCCUAGCUGGUCUGAGAGGAUGACCAGCCACACUGGAACUGAGACACGGUCCAGACUCCUACGGGAGGCAGCAGUGGGGAAUAUUGCACAAUGGGCGCAAGCCUGAUGCAGCCAUGCCGCGUGUAUGAAGAAGGCCUUCGGGUUGUAAAGUACUUUCCGCGGGGAGGAAGGGAGUAAAGUUAAUACCUUUGCUCAUUGACGUUACCCGCAGAAGAAGCACCGGCUAACUCCGUG
rnacentral:rRNA from 1 species